rnacentral:rRNA from 1 species
UGGGGAAUAUUGGACAAUGGGCGAAAGACUGAUCCAGCCAUGCCGCGUGUGUGAAGAAGGUCUUCGGAUUGUAAAGCACUUUAAGUUGGGAGGAAGGGCAUUAACCUAAUACGUUAGUGUUUUGACGUUACCGACAGAAUAAGCACCGGCUAACUAUGUGCCAGCAGCCGCGGGAAUACAGAGGGUGCAAGCGUUAAUCGGAAUUACUGGGCGUAAAGCGCGCGUAGGUGGUUUGUUAAGUUGGAUGUGAAAUCCCCGGGCUCAACCUGGGAACUGCAUUCAAAACUGACUGACUAGAGUAUGGUAGAGGGUGGUGGAAUUUCCUGUGUAGCGGUGAAAUGCGUAGAUAUAGGAAGGAACACCAGUGGCGAAGGCGACCACCUGGACUAAUACUGACACUGAGGUGCGAAAGCGUGGGGAGCAAACA